rnacentral:rRNA from 1 species
GACGAACGCUGGCGGCGUGCUUAACACAUGCAAGUCGAACGAUGAAGCUGGAGCUUGCUCCGGUGGAUUAGUGGCGAACGGGUGAGUAACACGUGAGCAAUCUGCCCUUGACUCUGGGAUAACUGCGGGAAACUGUAGCUAAUACCGGAUACGAGGCUCGAAGGCAUCUUCGGGUUUGGAAAGAAUUUCGGUCAAGGAUGAGCCCGCGGCCUAUCGGCUUGUUGGUGAGGUAAUGGCUCACCAAGGCGACGACGGGUAGCCGGCCUGAGAGGGUGACCGGCCACACUGGGACUGAGACACGGCCCAGACUCCUACGGGAGGCAGCAGUGGGGAAUAUUGCACAAUGGGCGAAAGCCUGAUGCAGCAACGCCGCGUGAGGGAUGAAGGCCUUCGGGUUGUAAACCUCUUUUAGCAGGGAAGAAGCGAAAGUGACGGUACCUGCAGAAAAAGCACCGGCUAACUACGUGCCAGCCGCCGCAGUAA